CUUUCGCUGAAGUCAGGAGUGACAGCAAUUAACUCCUCCGCUGCACCGUCCCCAGGGCCAGAUGCCACGUGAGAGACCCCAGGCUGGAGCGAGAACGUGAGGGCCCGGCGCUCCGGGGCAGGGCGGAGGGAUAGCGACCUGGGGCAUCCGCUGUUUGCAGGCCCGGCUAGGGCGGCUGCCAGCCACGGGGGAGAGGCGCUGGCAAGAGCCAGAGAGGAUCCCCUGCAAGAAAUAUAUCGCGUGCUGACACUUUUACGACCCGGGCCGGCUUACAGUACACAGGCCGGUGCACAGCUCCGCUUUCCUCUGCCCAGCUUGACAUCACAUGCUCGCCCCGGGGCUGCCACUUGGAGUCAGGAAAGCCCAUAUAUUUCCCUCCUCAGAUAGGCCUAGUGGUUCUCGUCAGGUGCAGAAAGCCAAUAAAUCACCAGCGAAGUCUCCAUGUAUCUAUCAGUCAGGAGCUUGUCAUCCUCCAGCCUUGAUCCACAUGAAAGCCGGGAGCAGGAGGGGCGGGGUGCGGGGAGGGGGGCGCGGUGGGGGCGGGGCGCGGUCGGGCCUCGGACACCUGGCAGGGAGCUAGCGGGAGGGCUUGGGGAAUCUGCAAAUGUUCACAGUUCCAAGGGACCGCGGGGGAAAUUUACACCUCCUCCCCCUACUGCUUGUGCUUCCUUUCGCUUUGAAGUUCUGUGGCUCCGCACUGGAGUUGGGGAGGCAAGUCCUCCAGCCUCGGGCUUUUAAUAUUCACAUCACGUCCUCUUUGCAGCUACUUUGGGAGGAUUGAAAGCUACAAAGGACGUUUGGGUGACCUCCCCACAACACAAGGUGGGGUGGGGGGUUUCAACCCACACUGCCCCAUCUUGAAUCGCCAUGGAUGACCAAGUAGUUGAAACACGACGGGGGACUUAGGUGCCAGUCCUUCUAGGCAGAAGGGCCCUCUUGGGUUUUCAAUGAAAGGAAGAGUGUGAGGCAUUAAGAAGCCUGAGGAAGAGAGGAGAGAGGGGCUAGGGGCUCCCGCCUGGGAACAGGGAACUGCAAGAGGGCCUGUUCAGUGCUUUGGCCUAACUCGAAGUGGUGCCGCUAAGGUAGGGGUAGGAAUCUGACUCAGAGCUGAUGAGCACAGGGACAAGCCUGGCACACUUGGUUGGGGUGGGGAGGAGGGACAGAGGAAGCAAGAGCCAGAGGAGGGGGUUAGGCAGAGGAGGCAGAGCAAAGCUUAGGAAACCCUGGCUAGCAAGGCAGAAAGGAACAGGAAGGUUGCUGCCCCAGGUGCAGUGGAGUCAAAGGCCAAAGAACCCCAAAAUAGUUGCCUAUGAACUUUUUAGCGUCCAUCAUGUUGAGUCUGUUUUCCCUCGGCAGUUAAAACAAGUCUUAGUAAAAUGUGAGGGAGUAAUUGCUAAAGCCCAGAUGAACCUGAGGAGGUGGUAGGUUAAAUUGUGGUUGGAGGUGUGUGAUGGGAGACUGAAGUGAGAUACAGGGGUACAGAGAAAAAUGGCCGGUGCCCAAAUGGCCUUCCCCUUCUCUCCCCUGGGGCUGCGGAGGUCCACGGAAGGAAGAGCUCUCUCCCCCAGCGCCCCUCCUUUCCACCUGAUAGGGCUGAGGCCAAGGUUUUCUCUAGGACCUUGACUUUGACAUCUGCCCUGGGGGAAGAUGACAGGGUGGUGACUGGCCAGGAGUGAAAGCACUGAGAUAGGGACAUGGGGACAACGUGGCAUCAUUCUCUGCUUCUUUUCCUGCAGCAUGUGCUAUUUUCACUAUUCUCCUCAUGCUGGUGGCACCUAUGCUCCCUACCUACAAACUGAGAGUGGUAGCCACCUGUCACCCUGAAUGGAAGUCAUGGGUAAGAAUGUGGCAGAGAGCAAGCACUUUGUAAUCCAUUAGCUUUGCUUCUUUGAUAUGCCUUGUGACGGCGGACAUUACCUGUGUUAGUCAGAGUAAUGU
rnacentral:lncRNA from 1 species